rnacentral:rRNA from 1 species
GCGAACGGACGAGAAGCUUGCUUCUCUGAUGUUAGCGGCGGACGGGUGAGUAACACGUGGAUAACCUACCUAUAAGACUGGGAUAACUUCGGGAAACCGGAGCUAAUACCGGAUAAUAUUUUGAACCGCAUGGUUCAAAAGUGAAAGACGGUCUUGCUGUCACUUAUAGAUGGAUCCGCGCUGCAUUAGCUAGUUGGUAAGGUAACGGCUUACCAAGGCAACGAUGCAUAGCCGACCUGAGAGGGUGAUCGGCCACACUGGAACUGAGACACGGUCCAGACUCCUACGGGAGGCAGCAGUAGGGAAUCUUCCGCAAUGGGCGAAAGCCUGACGGAGCAACGCCGCGUGAGUGAUGAAGGUCUUCGGAUCGUAAAACUCUGUUAUUAGGGAAGAACAUAUGUGUAAGUAACUGUGCACAUCUUGACGGUACCUAAUCAGAAAGCCACGGCUAACUACGUGCCAGCAGCCGCGGUAAUACGUAGGUCCCGAGCGUUAUCCGGAUUUAUUGGGCGUAAAGCGCGCGUAGGCGGUUUUUUAAGUCUGAUGUGAAAGCCCACGGCUCAACCGUGGAGGGUCAUUGGAAACUGGAAAACUUGAGUGCAGAAGAGGAAAGUGGAAUUCCAUGUGUAGCGGUGAAAUGCGCAGAGAUAUGGAGGAACACCAGUGGCGAAGGCGACUUUCUGGUCUGUAACUGACGCUGAUGUGCGAAAGCGUGGGGAUCAAACAGGAUUAGAUACCCUGGUAGUCCACGCCGUAAACGAUGAGUGCUAAGUGUUAGGGGGUUUCCGCCCCUUAGUGCUGCAGCUAACGCAUUAAGCACUCCGCCUGGGGAGUACGACCGCAAGGUGAAACUCAAAGGAAUUGACGGU